GACGAACGCUGGCGGCGUGCUUAACACAUGCAAGUCGUACGGUAAGGCCCUUUCGGGGGUACACGAGUGGCGAACGGGUGAGUAACACGUGAGUAACCUGCCCACAACUUUGGGAUAACGCUAGGAAACUGGUGCUAAUACUGGAUAUGUGCUCCUGCUGCAUGGUGGGGGUUGGAAAGCUCCGGCGGUUGUGGAUGGACUCGCGGCCUAUCAGCUUGUUGGUGGGGUAGUGGCCUACCAAGGCGGCGACGGGUAGCCGGCCUGAGAGGGUGACCGGCCACAUUGGGACUGAGAUACGGCCCAGACUCCUACGGGAGGCAGCAGGGGGGAAUAUUGCACAAUGGGCGCAAGCCUGAUGCAGCAACGCCGCGGGCGGGAGGACGGCCUUCGGGUUGGAAACCGCUUUCAGCAGGGACGAAGCUUUUUGUGACGAUACCUGCAGAAGAAGCACCGGCUAACUACGUG
rnacentral:rRNA from 1 species